rnacentral:rRNA from 1 species
UACAGAGGGUGCAAGCGUUAAUCGGAAUUACUGGGCGUAAGGCGAGCGUAGUCGGUUAUUUAAGUCGGAUGUGAAAUCCCCGGGCUCAACCUGGGAAUUGCAUUCGAUACUGGAUAGCUAGAGUUCGGCAGAGGGAAGCGGAAUUUCUGGUGUAGCGGUGAAAUGCGUAGAUAUCAGAAGGAACAUCAGUGGCGAAAGCGGCUUCCUGGACCAGAACUGACGAUCAGGCUCGAAAGCGUGGGGAGCAAACAGG